rnacentral:rRNA from 1 species
AUGGCCACCGAACCCUCCUCCUCCGCCGCCACUUCGCCGGGCUCCCUCUCCUCCUCCUCGGCGCCGAACGCGCCCACUGCUCCGGCCACCACGGCGACGACCUCCCCGCCGUUCGUCUUCGGCACCAACCCCGCCCUCUUCAGCGGCUCUUCUUCCUCCUCAGGUUCCCAAUUUGCCCCCAUCUUCUCCUCCGGCACGCCUCUCCCACCAACCCCCCUGCUCCUGGUCCCACCGAUCCCAUCUACCGCGACCACAUCACAAACCACAUCAAAUUUCUCCUCAACCCCGCCGAUCACAACUACCACAAGUAGAAGACCUUCUUCCUCAUGGUUCUCGUCCGCUACGGCAUCACCUACCUCAUCGAGCAUCCCCCACCACCCAACGCCACCUCCCAAUAUCUUGAGCUUGACGCCCACAUCGCCCUCUGGAUUUAUGCCACUCUCUCGGAUGUCAUGGCUUCCCUUCGACGCCGCCGAGGAGUCCCAGGCGCAGCGCGCGUCUGAGGAGAGCGCCUCCGCCUUCACUCUGCCUGGCGGUGGCCCCUCGGGCGGUCCCUCCGGCGGUGGCAGCCGUCAAACCACCGAUCGCUCCAACGACCGUGCUUCGGGCGCCUCAUCUUCGUCGACUCCCGCUUCUGGCCGCGGCCACGGUGACCGCUAUGGAGACGGUGGUGACCGUGGCCGUGGACACGGACGCGGCCGUGGCCGCGGGUGCCACGACAACGGGGGCCGUGGCCAGCCUCAGCCGGCCCCGCUCGCCCCGUACACUGGCUACUUUGCGCCGUACGGGAUGGCGAUCCCGUCUCCGCGCUCUGGCUGGGUGCCUCCCAACGCCGCCGGUGUGCUCGGGCCCCGCCUGGGCUCUCAUGCCCAGGCCUACCCAGCCUACGCGCCGCCGCCCGCUCCACCGGCCCCGUACUACCCGGCUGCGCCUCCGUCGUGGGAUCACUUUGCGCUGCUCAACGCCGCCUACAGCAACAACAACUACCCCGCUCCUCCCGCACCCGAGUGGUAUCUCGACAGCGGGGCUUCCUCUCACAUAACAGGCAAUUCAGCUCCCUCACAUGCGCCCUCGGGAUCCCAACCCAACCAAUCCCCUCGCCGCACCCCACCCAGCACCGGGCCCCGCACCCCCACUACCCCGACCGCGUCUACCAGCUCCACUCCCACCGGCUCACGCAGAUCCCCACGCGGAUCCUCCUCGCCUGGCGCGCCCGCCUCGUCCGGAUCCAACCAAUCCCACCGCUCGCCGCCUCCUGCGCCUGCCCCCUCUGAACCGCAAUCCUCCUCGCAGUCCGCGCCUGUUCCAUCGCGUUCGCCUGCCGCCCGGCCCACCGAAUCUACCUCCACAUCCGAGCUGACCACUCCUAGCCCGCCACGUCUACCCCGCCAUGCAAUUCCGAUAGAGCCACCCCACAACUCCCACCGCUGCUUCUGCUUGCAUCCAACACCCGAAUCUGCUAGACAACGACUAAAGAUCAAGAUCUCACCCCUUCUCCUUCUCCUUCUCCUUCUCCUUCUCCACAAGACUACGCAACAUCUGAAACUCGCCAUCACUAAGCAGCACUGCAGCAGGGAUGAUAUCUUCUCCAGGAUAAACUCUUCUCAGAAUAGCCAAGUGGGGUGUGUCUCCUGUUGCAACUUCACCUUCAGGAUCGAUUACAUCAAAUCACAGGACGAACACACGCACGAAAACUGA